rnacentral:lncRNA from 1 species
GAAUUUCAAAAGAAUGUGCGCUGUUAAAUUAAAUAAAAUAUUUUUUUGUCCAUUAUCCAUUACAUACAUUAGAAUGAAUGCUUCUGUUGUAUUAUAAAUCUCCGAUACGGGUAGUAUAUAAUACAUAGAUGUUGUUAAGUGUAGUAUAGAGUGUCUACUUUAACAUGUAGGCGUUUAGGUGUGUGUGACUCACAAAAGUAAUAUUACAGUAUAUAAAUAUGAUAUAUAAUACAAACUACCACACACUAAACAGUAGUAACAAGCAAUGAGCGCAAAACAAAUUGAGACGGAUAAGACGACGAGAGAAUAUUAUAAGUGGCUAUAAGCUCUUGUGUUAUGUGACUGAAUAUUGUGGUAUUAAUAAACAGUAAUGUAAUGCAAUCCAUAUCUUGUUUGUUUAUAUUUAAACUCAAUAUUUAGCACUUAAUAUUCGAUAAAUCUGAAAAAUCAUCGUAUCAAUUAUUUUAGAUGUUUUUAUGGCGGUUAAAUUGCAACAUUUUUGCAGCUGUCUGAAUGUAGAUACACUCAACUCUGUAAAUUUAAAUAUUUUCCGCUGAGGGAACAUACCCAUAGGACGUUUCCGGUUGCAAAGGCCCUACACUAGUAAAAAGUUCCUGGAAGUGCAAAGCGGUCUCUUUUUAAAAUGUUCCAUUGUGCUGAAAGGCCAGAGAAAAAAGGGACAUCACAUGUAUGUAAUGUCAGAGAGAAUUCAAGCACAGCACAGCGAGACUAUAAAGAGCAAAGAAGUUGGCAACAGGAUUAAAGAGUGAAAGACCGGGAUGAAUUUUCCACGUGUGUGUGGUGAGUGCCAGGAGCAGUGAGUUGUUCUCACUCCAGACACGUUAUAUUUUCAGUAUGUACGGCAGAUUGUAACAUUAAAGACGCUUAUCAAGAUGGACGGGUUUGUAAUGGAACGAUCGUAAGUUUUAUCUUGAGCGUGAGAUUUUCAACCUCUCACCAGAAUAUUAAUGCUUAUUCUCAUUUAUAAUUUAUAAAAAUAUGUUAUAAACUAUCAAUCACUGAGCUUCAGUUCAAAUUUAUUUGUCUUUUUGUUUAAGAAUUUUUUAACUUCAAAAAAAUGUAUUUAUAUUUUUCAAAAUUGGAAAUGAACACUGCUAAAAUA